rnacentral:rRNA from 1 species
CCUACGGGGGGCUGCAGUGGGGGAUAUUGCACAAUGGGGGGAACCCUGAUGCAGCGACGCAGCGUGGGUGAAGGAGCGCUUCGGCGCGUAAAGCCCUAUCGGCAGGGAAGAAGAUGACGGUACCUGACCAAGAAGCGCCGGCUAACUACGUGCCAGCAGCCGCGGUAAAACGGAGGGGGCAAGCGGUAACCGGAUUUAAUGGGUGUAAAGGGGGCGCGGACGGCAAUGCAAGCUAGGAGUGAAAGCCCGGGGCCCAACCCCGGGACUGCUCUUGGUACUGGAUGGCUGGAGUACAGGAGGGGCAAGCGGAAUUCCUAGUGUAGCGGUGAAAUGCGUAGAUAUUAGGAGGAACACCAGUGGCGAAGGCGGUCUGCUGGGCUGAGACUGACGUUGAGGCCCGAAGGCGUGGGGAGCAAACAGGAUUAGAUACCCUAGUAGUC